UGCCGCUUGCGGCUUCCUCUGGCUCGUUGUUUGGCUUGCCUUUGGGGGGGCAACAAUGGGGAGUCUCUGGGGCGUGCCAGCGGAGGAGGAAGUCAGGUGAGAGGCCUCGAAGCACCCCACACACCCUAGCCUGCGUGGGGUGUACACUCUCCACUAGCGACGAGUGAACCAAUUUUUUUUUUCUCUUCAGUGUUCAGUCGAGACGAUCUUUUCCUAGAGGGCCUAGUUCCCUUCACCCUGGACUAUUUUCCCUUCAUCCCAUCAGCGUCCCUUUCAGCCCCCUACCCAGGAGUUCUGCACCCCAGCUGAGCCGCACGUGGGGGACGGAGAACGAGGGGGCCUCCUUUGCCGACCCCUAAUCUGUGCCCGAGCCUAUUUGUUUCAGUAUUUAUCCUCAUGACAGCAGCUGUACUUUUCAGCCCACUGGAACGAGACGCCUACGCUGAUGUCCAAUUUUUCCCCAAAAAAGCUGGGGGCUGAGCGGGCAAGAGAUACCGGUUUCAUUAACAGCGGACUCGGGAGGUCUCAGCCUAGUGGAACAGUCACCAUCUUGGAUCUUUCAUGAGCAGUUGCAAAAACCAAGAUUAAAAAAACUAAAACAUUGAGAGGUCAAAUCGCUUGCUCAAGAUGAUUUAGCUUGUGAGUAAAGGAACAAGGAUUUGAACUGGGCUCUCUGGCUCCCUUCGUGUUGACCUGCUCCAGGCUUUGGAAACAGUCUAAAAUAGCUAGCAGCUCUACCCUUAAAAACAUUAUACCUUAAAAAGGAGUAGAGUACCCUGAGCAACAGCAGGCAGGAGCCAGACUGUCUGUGCUGUCACCUACUAGGAUGUCACGGGUCUCUGUCCUGUUGAGUUGAGCUGCAGAACUCUCCUGUGAAUUCUCCUAGCCUCGCUGUAACAGCCCUAAUCCCCUUGAGUGAGGGUGUAUGUCUCCAGAAAAUACAGGUGGCCAUAUACACCAGAAGUAGAUGAAAGUAAACUAAAAGCCUCCUCUCUCUUUCAUGUCUGAAAAUGGGUCAGUGUUCACAUAGCCGCAUGUCCUUCUGCAUGGGGGGUAAUAGCCAGGAAGAAAAUACUUGAACACGGAAGACUGAAGUUGCUACAAGACAGUGCUGCCUAAACUUUGAUUUGCAUUUGCACCCCUGGAGGAUCUUAUGUCAAGGCAGAUUCAGAUUCAGAAAGUUUGGGACAGGUCCCAAUAUUUUGAUUUUUCUAACAAGAUGAUGCCAGGCUGCUGUUCUGCGAAUGGCAGGUGUUUAGAGCCCUUCCUAAGGCACCUCCUCUCCCCUCUGUGCAGUCAGCAAAAGGAAAGCACUUCCUGGCCAGAGACCUAAAAAAGAAAGAAAGAAAGAGAAAAGAAAUAAACAGUGUGUACAGUAUGUACUCGGAUGAGACUAGAAACAAAAUGAACAUGUUAACAAAGAAGAAACACAUUAAUCAAAACCUGAUUAAUUCACAUUGAUUAUUCACAUUGAGAUGGAACGGAGUGAAAGGUGGGCUACCCAGGCAUUCAGGGUCUAGGUGCAGCUGCUUUCAAAGUUUAGUUUUAAAUUGUAACAAGAAUCACUAUAUCUAGUUAUAUCCUUCCCUAGAGAGGAAAAUUCAAGUUUCUAUAAAGGAGGAACUAUGCUCUCAGAAUUCCUGAGUUGUAGAGUGUUAAUUUAUAUGAAUCUGUACCUUACUCCAAAAGUUUCUAAUGGUUAUGGUUUCUGGGAAAUAAUACAUCAUUUUUUCAGUGGAUAUUCUUGAUCUAUAAAACAAAAAACUUCCAAAAAUUGCAACUAGAAAAGCAUUUUACAGCAUGCAUUUUUAGAGAAAUUGUCUUAGCAUCUAAGCUGCGCAUUGUUUUUGUAGAAACCCUAGUCUUGCUCCCUGGCAAGCUCUGUAGACAGAUAGGCAACACUGGCAAUCCUAUAUGUGAUUUAUUAAUAUGUGAUGGUCUUGACCAAGUAGACCUGAUUUUGCUAACUACUUAUUAGUUUUUUGUGGGGAGGGGUUUGAGACAAGGUCUCACCAUGUUGUUGAGACUG